GGGGUCCCAAGCCAAGAUCACCUCCAUCACCCACUAGUAGCUGGCCCGGACAUCCUGGUCAUCCUCCAUCCAACCAUGGCUGAAAUAUUACCACAAAUAGUAAGGGCUUCAAGUUUUCUUGGAUUCUCAUUUUGGUUAUCAACUUUUACUGUAUUAGGUUUUAUGUUAUAAAUAACACUGUGUAAGACCACGAAAGGAUUUACCCGUCCAUGUUAUGGAAUAUUAUAGAUUAUAAGGAAAUUAAAACCUUUUUAUUAUUCAUCUUAAUUUUUACUGGGAUUUUAGCAAACAAUUACUAAAAGUAUGGUUAGGAAUUGUAUAAUUAUUCACAAUAGUUUUGUGCAUUCCUUCUUUCAAUAAUUGAAACAAUUACUAAAUAUGAGUAUGUAUUUACUAUUUACGUUAAUAAAAAAUUAAAAAUAUAUUAGAAGAUUUCAAAAUAAUUAGUUAUAUUAAAUUUUAUAAUAUUUUAAUUACAGAUAAAGGAUUAAUUUUAAAGCUAUUGUUUAGAGAUAUUGGAUUAUUUUGAUCCAAAACAAAUUUAGAAAAUGUUUUCAAUUUGAAAAUCAAGAAUCAAAUAAUAAAUUAUGAAAUCAAUUUAGCAUUACGAAGAAAAAUAUCAUUACAUUAAAAAACAUUACAGAUAUAUACAUAAGUAGGAUUGCAUAAGAAUUUAAUGAAUUACAUCAAUUCCAACAUUAAGGAGUGUGAGGAAUAAUGUAUGUGGAUUGUAAUCAGUGGUACAUAUGAACUCAUAGGAAUAAUAUAUUUUUUAGAAAAGAAAAGUUGGAUGCUGAAAAGAUAUUUACAUUAGAAACCCUUAAGACAUGGGAUUGAAUUACCAAUAAGAACUCAAAAGCUAAAUUCUCUUAUUCGGAUUAAUUUUUUGCACAUCGAUAUGAAUUUAAAGUAUAUAUCUAGCUAGCUAUCUAAAGGGGGAAAAUAGAGUGGUGUAACUUUGUUUGGAUUAUAUCAACAAUAAGAGAGCAAUGAGAUAAAUCUAAGUAAAAGUUUUAUAUGGGUGCUAUCUAGUUAGCUUUUUCAUAACAGCAUGUGACUCUUUUUGGUCAAAUAGAUGAAUCUAUGAUCCAAGACAAAAUCAUGGUUCAAAAGAUUUCUUUUUAACCUUUUUCAAACAUUUGAUUUAAACUAUCUUUUGUAGAUAUGAUUUGACGAAUAACAAUUAAGAUGCUCACACUCUUAUUUGGAUCAUACUAAAAUAUUCUUUUAAAUCAAAUUUGACAUUCCUAAAGAAGAUAUUAUUUCUCUAAUUUCAUAAAUUCCACGUGAAAGCAAUCCACGUCUCCUCCAUAGCAUAUUCCCUUUAUGUUAUUUACUCGGUCAUUCGUGUUGUUCUAUGAGGGUUUCCAAGACUACCAAUCAAUUUUUAGUAUGAAAUUUGGUCUUAGGUACAAAGUAUAAGGAUGGCUAGAAGUCCUUUUUUGUGCUAUUGCCUAAAUACCUUAUUGCUUUUUAUAGCUUUAGGGACAAGUGGUGGCAUGUCUUCCAUUAUUUAUAAUUAAUAUUAUGUUGCAUAAUAUAUAUAGUGAAGAAGACCUACCACUUCCUCAUUCAUAUCAUGUAUUGGAAGUUUCACAGAAAGCUCAACAUGUUAAAUAUGAUGAAAACUAUAUACAUAAUUAAUCCUUUGUUUUAAAUACACAUAUAGAAUUUUCUAUUUAUAAUAGAAAAAAUAUGAGUUAAAUUCAAAAUACAAAUAAAAAUUAAUAACAAAUAAUUAAACACAAAAGAUAAAGAUAAAAAAUAAAUAUAAAAUAAAUAUAAUAUAUCUAACACAACUUAUUAUAAAGUGGCUGAUUACGAACAAGCAUCACAGAAAUCUGGUUUCAGCCUUCAAAAUACUCUGGUAUGGCUUGGAUCAGAGUUUCUUCUAAGUUUGUAUCUUUCCUUGUUCUGUUAGCAAUGGCAUUUUCUUUCUUUGCACAGCUUACUUCAGUUAGUGCAGGUUUGUGUAGCUACUACCUCUUUAAAAUAUGCAAACACAUAUGAACAACAUGUGUUUAGAAUUGUAAGAUCAUUAUCACUGUCAUUAGUGUUUGGUAGAUGAUGAUGAUGAAUUAAUUAGUGCAUGAAAGUGUUUAGCACGUAAAGUAAAAGUACAUGUUGUUGCAGGUAGAAGCAUAUUAGGUAUCUUGAAAAGUUUAUAAUUAACGUGAUAGCUGUGAUCUUGAUUUGCAGAUCCGAAAGUGAGAAAAUUGGGUGUGAUGCCAAGUCCACCUCCUUCACCUGCGCGUAAUCCAUCAUGGCGUACUCUACCUCCUCGUCUUCCUCCUCCAUCCAUUUAAAUUUUCAUUUUCUGCUUAUAUCUUGUCAUUGUUAGUGAAACCAAACUGAGUAUUUGGUCAGUCUUCUUGUGUUUCGUCUGUGUUUUGUAAUAAGCCAGGUUUCAGGCACCUUUUGUUAGUUUUGUAUUGUUUUCUGCAUAAUGUACGUUGUUCAGCAUAGUAUUUUACUGUUUGGUCUGUGUGUUGCACCCCUUUAAUAUAUAAUUAUCUUCUUUGUUGGGAAAAAUAUAUUAGGUUUUCUCUAUAAAUUACACCACCAACAUAUUUAUUUGGGAGACUGCUUGGAGAACAAAUAUGUAUCAAAAUAUAAUAUGAAAUUCUCAGAAAUAGAACGACGAGAAGCGGGAGACAACAUCAUUCAAAAGAUGUACAAAAUGGACGAAAGACCGAGUAAAACCCAUCUUCGUUUUUGGAGUCAUUAAAUCCAACUUUUGCCCAUAACAUUAUGAUAAUCUGCAUAUUAAUUGGUGUUACAAUCUUUUUAAAUGCUUAGUUAAAGGAAAAUCAUUAAAUAAUAAUUCAUUUUAAAGACUAAAAGUAAAUAAUGUUGUUAUCAUUAGUAGUUGUCGUUAUCAUUUAUUUAGUAUACUGGGAUUUAACACAAAUUUCACAUGCAGACUUGUUAAUCUUCAUAACAGCAUUAAUGGGGUAGCAUCAAACACUUAGAAAAGUUAAGUCAGAGAAUAAUAUUUUAGCUAAGUGGGUCGUCCACCAGCACCCUUUUUUAUUUAACUUUAUUAACAACCAAUCAUUAUAUUUAUCUGUGCCUUUCCUUUCCAAUAAUUUUGGAUGAUGACAGUCAUCCAUUCCUAUUAUCGAGAGAGAGUGUAGGGCAUUUCAUUAAUUUAAAUGGAAAUCAGUAUAAUUCUUAAACAACCUUUAAUAUCAGUAACCAAUUAUCACCUUCACUCAAAUGCCAUUAAAAUUAGACUCGUUCUUUUCAUCACUCCAAGAGUAUCAUUCUUAAACAUGACACUCAUUAUGCUGGAGCUAUUUAAGUUUAAAAUUAUGAUGUACAAAAUUUAUUUUAGGUUUGUUUAUGGAAGCCUUUGCAUAGGAUAAAUAUCCUAAUGUAGAGUUAUGUAUUAACUAUUAUCUAAUUUUUCGUAAAUUGAUAUAAAUAUAUAUAACUAUGAGUUCAUGAUAGGUGUCAUAAAGAAAAGUUGUUUUACAUUGAGAGUUAAAGUGUUUAUAAUCAAAAUUUGUAAAAAAGAUUGUUAUUAUCAUAAUGACCAGGAAGUUUGAUGUGCAUGUAUUAAGUGCGAUUCUACAGCAAUUUUGGAGGUAAGAGUUAUGAAGGUUCAUCUCUACAAACAUGAUUUCAAGUCUAAUUAUUUGAUUUGGACGGAUCAUGGUUAAUUUAGGCUAAAAGGGGAUUUAGAUAAUAGUUUAACUUGGAUGGGUGUGAAAAAGGAUGAUGAACAAAAUGACCAAUUUAUGUCAAUGUAAGACAUGGUGCAUGAUGUUCUUACACAAAUGAGGUGUGCCAAAUAUCGAACUAAGAUAACAUGAAAGAACUCUAAAUGAAAAAAACUCAGAUUUUAUAAUAUUUAGUUGGAUGCAAAUAAGUCUAUGUAUAAAGGGAUAUCAAACUCCAAAUUAUCAGUGUCAGAUCAUUAGCUUGUAAGUCCAAUUGAAAUAUUUCUAAGCGAUACUUAAAUUUUAUUGCAAAAAAUUUAUGGAUAAAUUUAUAUGUAAUUACUAUGAAUAAAUCCAUAUAUAAUUAUUUACGAAUUUAUUUGUAAGUAACUAUUGCUAUGACAUUUUACUUACUUGUAAAAAAUUUGUAAAUAAGAUUUUAUUUAUGGAUUUUAUGACUUAUCUAUAAAUUUUGUUUUUGGAGGUAAUGUUCUUUUUUUUUUUUUUUUGCUUAUAGUGAUAGCUUAAUAACAUUACCUGGAACUUUCCUUUUAGAAUAGCUUUUAUGGAUUGGCCAUAAGAAAAAAAAAGUACAAGAUAUUAAUUUUAUUAGAUUCUUUAAAAAAGUUGAUAAAUAAUUCAUAAUAUAAUAUGAUGAUGCAAACGUUAAAAACAAAAGCAAGUUAUUUUUCUGUUUAUUUUUGUUACCAAAACGCGUUACCUUUAUUAUCUUUAUUGACCUAAUUUCUAUAAGAAAUUUCACUGAAAGCUCAAAAAGAUGGCAAAUUUAGGGUUGGUGACUGUGAAGCAGAAGUUGUAUAUUAAUUGGGUUUUGGUUUGAGAAUUAAACACACAAAAACUGAGAUGGCUAGAACCACUCUUUCUUCCCUGUCUUUAUUUUUCUGUAUUCUCCUCAUAAUUACCUUCAGUUUCUUCGUGCAACCAAUUCCAGUAAGAACAGGUUUGUCUCUGUUACUGAAUCAUCCAAAACGUAAAUUAAAGAGGAGAUUUAUAAAUAGAUUUUGUAAGAUUAAAUUAGUUUUUAAAUUUAUUUGGAAUCAUUUUGUAAAAGUAAGAUUUCUGAAAACUGUUAUGAUAUGAAUUUGCAGAACUGAAAAUAAGGGGUCCCAAGCCAAGACCACCUCCUUCACCCACGCCUAACUGGCGCCCAGUUCCUGGUCAUCCUCCAUCCAACCAUGGCUGAAAUAUUACCACAAAUCGUAAGGGCUUCAAGUUUUCUUCGAUUCUCAUUUUUGUUAUCAACUUUUACUGUAUUAGGUUUUAUGUUAUAAAUAACACUGUGUAAGACCACGAAAGGAUUUACCCGUCCAUGUUAUAGAAUAUUAUAG
rnacentral:lncRNA from 1 species